AAUGAACGCUGGCGGCGUGCCUAAUACAUGCAAGUCGAGCGGAGCGGGGACGGGUGAUUAACACGUGGAUAACUUCCUAUGAGGCUGGGGUAAGUUCGGGAACGCUGAUCUAAACCCGUUACUUAUAGGUUGAUCCUCGCUGCAUUAGCUAGUUGGUAAGGUAACGGCUUACCAAGGCAACGAUGCAUAGCCGAGCUGAGAGGGUGAUCAGCCACACUGGAACUGAGACACGGUCCAGACUCCUACGGGAGGCAGCAGUAGGGAAUCUUGCGCAAUGGGCGAAAGCCUGAUGCAGCAAUGCCGCGUGAGUGAAGAAGGUCUUCGGAUCGUAAAACUCUGUUAUUAGGGAAGCGGUACCUAAACAGAAAGCCCCGGCUAACUACGUGCCAGCAGCCGCGGUAAUAC
rnacentral:rRNA from 1 species